rnacentral:lncRNA from 1 species
CCUAACCUAAUUCCUAGUAUCUAACACCUAAACUAAAACCGGACUCUAAAAAUUAGAUCCGCCAUUGGGAACGAGAGAACGAUUCUCAUCAGAUUCUCGUGGCUGCUGGUUCAGAUUUCAAAACCUUAAGCUUCUUCUUCUCGAUGAAAAGAAGCAACAAAACAAACCUAGAAACCUAACACAAGAAUACAACCGCAGCAACCAUAAACAAGGGAAACCCUCAUUCUUUGAAUUUUCAGUCGCUGACCACCUUGCUGAGGCAGAGAAAACGGGAGCCUCAUCCAAAAAAAAAAUAUCAAUCUUGGUCGUGAAAAAAUGGAGUUGAUUGAAAUUUGAAUUCUGGUCGUAGUUCCGUCGAGGAUCAGUAAUUUUGUCCGUCGAGGUCGUGCUCACAUCUCCGAUUCCAUUGUUGAGGUUUCCGGUGCCGGCAGGAUCAGAUCAUUGUUUGUUUGUUGUUGUUUCGCUUCAUUUGUAGCCGAGCUUAGUUUGUGGCUGUUCUCAGCUUCUGUUUGGUUCUGCUAUUGUUAUGAUUUCCGGUAAGAUCAAAUUUUCCAAAGCUUAUUUGAUUCUGUUGAUGUUAUCUAAUGAUAUCAGUUUUGUUACUGCUGGAAUUGAGGAUCUCAGAUUCACAACGAAGUGCGUACAUCUGUUUAUCUUCUAAAGAAGGAAAAAUAUGUGUAUGAAAUAAUAAUUGCUAUUGAUGUUUGGCAAGUGAAUCCCUUGUGAAAUUAUUAAAUAAU